GGGGCCGAUUAGGAUUCGACGCCGGUAGCGAAGCUCUAGGUGCAUGCCGACUUGGUAACAGAAGUCGUAAAUCCACUGUUGCAACUUUCUAUAGUUGCCAAUGACGAAAACUACGAGGGCUACGCUCUCGCUGCGUAAGCGGCGCGACUAGUCCUUCUGGUAGCUUCGGCUCCAACUCGUCCAAAGCACCCUGCCCGUCGGGCGGCUGCGGAUUAACUCAAUAGACACGGCUAAGCAUGUAGUACCGAAAGUGGAGAACUGGCGGACGGGGGUUCAAAUCCCCCCGGCUCCACCA
rnacentral:tmRNA from 1 species